rnacentral:lncRNA from 1 species
CUGGUUGAGAGGUUGGAGGUAUACCCAUUUUCUGUUCUGAUUGAGAAGCAUUUGUACUCUUUUUUUCAUGUGCAUUUCCACUAUUAUUUUGUGUAACUCCGACCAAUGUUUCUAAUAUCUCACAAUCAUCAAGACUGGAAUAUUGACUUGUAAAGAUGAAAAAACAAACGAAUAACAAUGUAAGUCAAAAUUUUAAUACAAAAUGGAAAAUUAAAAAUGUAAUAACAACAAUAAAAGAGAAAAUAGUGAAAAAACCUCCAUUGGACAAGUGAAAAUGUUUCUAACUUAAAAGCUCUUUAUCCAACUUCAGUAUUAAAAUAUUAUAAUUUAGAUGUUGUGUAAUUGUUUGACAUACUUGAACAUCUAGAGUAUAAUUUAGAUGAUGUUGCAAUGAAGUAGAGCACUUCCUAGUUAUUUAAUUGUGUUGUUAUUCAGUAGAGCUCAUUGUUGAUGAAUUAGCCAACAAAUAUGCUGGAAAAAUUGCAUACUACAAGCUUAGCACUGAUGUCAAUCCAAGUAUAGCUACAAAGUGUGACAUUAGAAGCAUACAAACAGUUCUUUUCUUCAAAAAAUGGAGAGAAAAAAGAAAGCAUAACUAGUGUAGUUGUCAAGUCAACUUUCAGCAACAAUGGAUAAAUAUAUUGACAUAUGAUGUAAGAAAAAUUUGUAAAAUAUUGGUAUUUGUAUUGUGCAAGAAAUGACAUGAGUUGAAUCGUUGAGAAUGAGAAUAGAAACAAUACUUUUUAAUUUUAUUUCAUUCUCUUCCAUGCCUAGAAGGCUAAUGCUAGUGUUUUGUUUAUAAAGUUAUGGACCAUCUUUCCAUCUUCAUCUAGAUUCAAAUACUUACAAUAAUAUUGUGUACUCAUUUUUAAUAAACUAACUCCUAACUAUGUAAUUGUUUGACAUACUUGAGCAUCAUUUUUGUCUCAAGUAUACUAUUUAAAUAUUUAUGUAACUAUUAAUUAAAUCAUGGCUAUAAAAUAAACCUCACUGGAAGCUUCUUAACACUGAAUCAUGUAAAGUGAAAAUGGAACAUCAUCGAUAUCAUACCUUGAACAUAGAUGGAAGGUCAAAUGGGUAGGCGAUAUGCGACUGUGAUGUUGAGAGUUGAGAUGUUGAGAAUUGAGUUUUUAGAAUUAGAAUAUAAACA